UACGUAGGGGGCGAGCGCUGUCCGGAUUCAUUGGGCGUAAAGAGCUCGUAGGCGGUUCGGUAAGUCAGGUGUGAAAUCUCCACGCUUAACGUGGAGGGCCAUUCGAAACUGCCGUGACUCGGGUCCGGUAGGGGAGUGUGGAAUUCCCGGUGUGGCGGUGAAAUGCUUAGAUAUCGGGUGGAACACCAGUGGCGAAGGCGCUGCUCUGG
rnacentral:rRNA from 1 species